GCCCAGAUCCCCAUAAGUCAGCGAUGAGGGGGGCCGAGCAGGGGCUGCCCGUUAGACGGCCGCAGAGUCCCAGCCCCCAGCCCUGCUCACCUUUCUUACCUCUCUGGCCCCGUCGGCAUUUGAGCCUGGGACCCCAGACGAAAGGAUACGCUUCCUUUUAGAACCCCUGCCAAUCUGAGGACGGGGCCACCCCACAGACGCCGUGGCUCAGCAAGCAGACCAAUGGCCGAGGAGUCUGGCAAGGGGCGCUUGGCAGAUGAGAGUGGAGGUUGUAAAUCACCCUCCAUGCAAUGGUUCAUCAUAAAGGAUAUGGAGCAAAAUUAGAGGAGGCACGAGAAGGAAAGCCGGUGAUGAACAAGGAUUUGCCUCAACUACAGAGACAGCAUGGAACACGCCCUCCUAGGCUGCCCACAUCCUCAUCUGCAUGGGGGCACAGAAGCCUGGCCAUUCAUCCCAUGGGAGACUCAGGACAUGCUCCCAGCAACCUGAUGGGCUGCCCAAGGCUUGGCUGAUCCUGCAUCCCUGCAUCACAUCUCAGCUUCUCCCUCUGCCCAAAUCUACUUCCUCCCCAUUCCUUUCACAGGCAUUGAUUCCCUGAUAAACACCUUGCACCCCAUAUUCCAUCUCAGAGUCUCCUUGCAGAGAACCCAACCUGUGGCAGAGCUGGUCUCAGGACUCGGAGCGAGGGAGCAGGGAAAGAGGACAGGAAAGCAGGGAGAGUCAAUUUAAGGGUAUGUUGUCUGAGACAAAGAUUCUGCUAGGACCUCUGAGAUGGGUACAAGAUGCCUGGAGCCAUUCACUGGGCAGUAUCUGUCCAUCAGCUCCCAGGCCCCACAGAACCGGAGCUGCCUGUGAGGGCUUUCACUGCCCUGCAUUUCUGGGCUUCACAUAUGCACUGGCUGAGAGGGCUCCCUGUCUUCAAGGACGAUCCUGAGCAGAAAGUGGGUGCACUUGAGGUGGCAUGCUGUUGCGAGAGUCUGAGCUUUAUGAGAAGCAGACCCAGGGGGCAUGGUGUGGGGCAUCCCAAAGGACCUGCCAUACAUUAGGUGCCUUGGUCUUGGGGAGGAGCCCUCGGGAGUUCUGAGGGUGGGAGAAGAGGUAGGUGGGGUUAAUCCUUUCCCAUUCCCUCCCUGCCUCAGCACCAUGGCUCAGGCAGUAGCGCUGCCAGCUCCUCCUGGGAUCAGAGUUAUGGCCCUGCUCCCCUUGUCCCUUCAGGCUGAGGAACAUAAGGGCUUCCCAUGGUUGCUGGUGUCUGAGUGCCUCAACCUCCCUUGCUGGUUCCUUUCCCCUGCCCACACCUUUGUCAAUAGUUCCCCCCACUGAAGUCUCUUUGGUUGAGCAGUUGGUGGGGAUGCUGACUGAUAAAGUGGUCUAGGCCACUGCUCACUGCUUAAAGCCUUGCUUCAGAGAGACCUUCCAGGGCCCUGCAGCUCCCCCUUCUCCAACCCCUCCAACCCCUCCAACCUUUCUCUCUCCCAGCUGGUCUGGGUUCCCUACGGCAUCUACUUGCUUUUGAAUCUAUUUCUUAUAGAUACAUGUGUGUCCUCCUCUUUCACAGCCUUACCUUUUCAUAUGGAGGAAGAAAAAACCCAUUUCUAUAAAGCUAUUAAAUGUUUUCCUUUCACAAACACCAGUUUUGUACAUCAGAAGCACUGCCUUUCAUGCCUAUUGAAUUCUCGGAAAUGGGCUUCGAGUGCCUAUUUCAGGAGUUGAAAUCUGAACAUCAGCUCUUUCUUCCUCUCUGCAUUCCUGCCACACAGUCCUAAUCCUCUCCAGUGUGAUGGAUCCCUCUGGCUGGGUAGAAGGGAGAUCAUUUAAAGGAAAUUUGAAAAAGAAAAGAAUAGUAUUCCAUUUCAAGAGAUUUUUCUCCUGACACAGUUAUUUUCAACAGGUGACAGGUAUUGAUACUGAUGAAAGAUUCUUGAGUGAAUACAAACCACUCCCCACCCCCAUCCCCAGCAUACAUUCUCUAGAAAUUCCAGAAUGCCCAGUGAGUGGAUUCAUUCCACAUAUAUUUAGUGCCUAACUACAUGCCAAGGAGCUGGGUGCUAAGAACAAAAAAGUAUGAUUCCUGCCCUCUGCCAUAGAGUUUGUGAUCUGUGUUGAUGCAUUAAAGAUUAAUCCAAUG
rnacentral:lncRNA from 1 species